CCUACGGGGGACUGCAGUGAGGAAUAUUGGUCAAUGGACGCAAGUCUGAACCAGCCAUGCCGCGUGCAGGAAGACGGCUCUAUGAGUUGUAAACUGCUUUUGUACGAGGGUAAACGCAGAUACGCCUCUCUGUCUGAAAGUAUCGUACGAAUAAGGAUCGGCAAACUCCGUGCCAGCAGCCGCGGUCAUACGGAGGAUUCAAGCGUUGUCCGGAUUUAUUGGGGUUAAGGGGUGCGUAGGCGGUCGGAUAAGUUAGAGGUGAAAUCCCGAGGCUCAACUUCGGAAUUGCCUCUGAUACUGUUCGGAUAGAGAGUAGUUGCGGUAGGCGGAAUGUAUGGUGUAGCGGUGAAAUGCUUAGAGAUCAUACAGAACAUCGAUUGCGAAGGCAGCUUACCAAGCUACUACUGACGUUGAGGCACGAAAGCGUGGGGAGCAAACAGGAUUAGAUACCCGUGUAGUC
rnacentral:rRNA from 1 species